rnacentral:rRNA from 1 species
ACCCCAUAAUUAUAUUGAGAGGCAUCUUUUGAUAUUUAAAGUUUCGACGGUACAGGAUGGGCAUGCGUAACAUUAGCUAGUUGGUAGGGUAACGGCCUACCAAGGCGACGAUGUUUAGGGGUCCUGAGAGGGUGAUCCCCCACACUGGUACUGAGACACGGACCAGACUCCUACGGGAGGCAGCAGUGAGGAAUAUUGGUCAAUGGGCGCAAGCCUGAACCAGCCAUCCCGCGUGCAGGAAGACGGCGCUAUGCGUUGUAAACUGCUUUUCCAGGGGAAGAAAACCCACGACGUGUCGUGGCUUGCCGGUACCCUGGGAAUAAGCAUCGGCUAACUCCGUGCCAGCAGCCGCGGUAAUACGGAGGAUGCGAGCGUUAUCCGGAUUUAUUGGGUUUAAAGGGCGGAUUAAUAAGUCAGCGGUG